UACGUAGGGAGCAAGCGUUGUCCGGAAUCAUUGGGCGUAAAGCGCGCGUAGGCGGCCUCAUAAGUCCGUUGUGAAAGCCAAAGGCUCAACCUUUGAAAGCCGAUGGAUACUGUGAGGCUAGAGUCCGGAAGAGGCGAGUGGAAUUCCUGGUGUAGCGGUGGAAUGCGCAGAUAUCAGGAGGAACACCGAUAGCGAAGGCAGCUCGCUGGGACGGUACUGACGCUGAGGUGCGAAAGCGUGGGGAGCGAACAGG
rnacentral:rRNA from 1 species